AACGAACGCUGGCGGCAGGCCUAACACAUGCAAGUCGAGCGCCCCGCAAGGGGAGCGGCGGACGGGUGAGUAACGCGUGGGAACGUACCCUUUGCUACGGAAUAGCCUCGGGAAACUGGGAGUAAUACCGUAUGUGCCCUUCGGGGGAAAGAUUUAUCGGCAAAGGAUCGGCCCGCGUUGGAUUAGGUAGUUGGUGGGGUAAUGGCCUACCAAGCCGACGAUCCAUAGCUGGUUUGAGAGGAUGAUCAGCCACACUGGGACUGAGACACGGCCCAGACUCCUACGGGAGGCAGCAGUGGGGAAUCUUAGACAAUGGGCGCAAGCCUGAUCUAGCCAUGCCGCGUGAGCGAUGAAGGCCUUAGGGUUGUAAAGCUCUUUCAGUGGGGAAGAUAAUGACUGUACCCACAGAAGAAGCCCCGGCUAACUCCGUGCCAGCAGCCGCGGUAAAGUAGUCGUG
rnacentral:rRNA from 1 species